UAGCUUUUACUCUGUCAGAAUUUUUGUUUUUGUUUUGGCUAUCCGAUUUUUGCGCAGCAGCCAACAGUUCCUUUGAAGAUCUCAAGCAUAAAUUUUGCUUGAGAAAGAAAUCAACCGCCUGAGCCGGCUUCUGAUGAACUCACACACCCCGGCGAAGCUAUUCAAUCACGUCUGCCGGGAAUAAGUCAGUGAGCGCAAGAAACUGCAACCAUCGUGUGCCGCCUGCAAAGACUGCAAUUGAUACAUGAAGGAUGUUGCUGCAGUUUUUCUCAUGUGACGGCUGCCGGUUCGUCCGCAAAGAUCUUACCGGUGGGUAGUAGUCAACAAUCAAACGGUGACCGUACCCUCCCAGAACAAGUCAAAUUCCACUGAAUGAUAACGUCGAACUUAGUUCCUGUAGGGUCUAUAUGUAACAGCACCAGGAUUAUCGUAAGAAUGAAAUUAAACCGGCAGCAUCUUCAUUAACAACCAACCAGCAUUAGCAUCAUCAGCAACAAAAGGAAAUUGAAUUGAAUCCUCCUCGUCUGUGUGUUAUAUGUUAAUUCAAGAUGCCACUGGUGACCGGAUUGGCACUAGUGAAUGAGAAGCUAUAGGACUAGGGAAGUGCAUCGUAGCUAACGCAGGCAUUGGAAACAAGAUUGAAAUUUAAAGAAAUAAACGUCGUUACGAAACUUAA